UAAAUCCUGCUGAGGUAUAUACAACUCUACAAGCUGGUUCUCAAAUCCUUUUUUUGGAACGAGACUGAAGGAUUUCUGCAUAAAUAAUCAUAGUGGAAUUUUCAAGAUAUUUCAACGGUCUGUGGUGGCCAAAUAUGUGGAAUUGAGGCUGUUCCAGUAAAUCUGGAAUGAAUUGACACUCUAUCCACAGAGUAUGAAACUGUGUGUAGAGUAUGCAUGUGCGCGCGCGUGCACACACACACACAUACACACACACACACACACACAGGAAGAAUUCUUUUCUUGUCCAGACACUGGCAUUGGCAGUGAAACCAUCCAUUCCAAACCAAAGGAGCCCCCUCACCAAUGGCCUUGCCGCCCAGGAACCCUGCAGGGCAGAAGUUGGGGAGGGGAUAGCAGUCUGAAUAGCGGUCUUGGAUGGCUGGAAGCUGGCACCUGUGAACAAGCACCCAUGAUGGUGAUGCAUCCGGAACCAGGCUGCCCAGCCAACCAGUGCUUUCCCACCGGAGCUUUUGCUCUGGGCUCCUCUGCCGUUGAUUUCCCAGGUCCCGCCUUGCAUUUUCUCCCUCAUCUUCACAUGUGGGGAGCCCCUGACCGGCUGCUGAAGACCCCCAGACAAGCCUUCAGCUUCCAGAUCAUGGAAGGCAGCAUGGGGAGGCAGGAGACCCCUGGGAGGGCGGAGCAUGACUUUUGUCCAGGAGGCUGGACUACCGACUUCAGCAGGCUCUGGUUGGCUCUGGAGGACAUCCCUCAAGAAGUGCUGGCAGAUGUUAGAUUCCCGCCACCUGGAGGCCUGACCUCACCUGAGGGCAUCCCUGCCUGUCCAUGUCUUUUGACUGGGUGGGCAGCCCUGCCUACCUCUCUGCAGCUUCAAACACCAGCCGCUUCCACUCAGAGACACUCAAAAUGUGUCGAGGGAGGUUGUCCUCUGGACUCCUGGGAAUUGACCACCAGCAUGCGCUGCUCCGCUGACAAGGGAAAGGGCCCUCUGGCCCGCACAGCAUGGAUAUGGGCAGAACGGUUUUUCCUAACUAGGCCUUCUGGGUUGCAGCAGAACAGCAUGUGUCUGCUUCUCAAAUGUAACAGGACAAGAUGUUCAGGUCUUGUGUCCUCUGUGAAGCAGGGCUGCAAGGACCCCUUACCAAGGAGAAGAUUGUCUCUGGAAACUGCGAAAUCUGACCAGAAGGCCCUUAGCCUCCCAGGCUCUGUAGCUUCUGCAGUGAUGAGGCCUGGCCACCAGAUGGCUCCACAGAGGCCACUGCUCUCUCAGGGAAGAGGAGGCUGGGAAGAUCCAGGGGAGGACAUGGAAUUGGAUUCUCACCUGGGGAAGCUGUGGAGCCUGUGUGGUAUGGAUGCUUUUCUCCGCCGUGUCACCUGGGAUAACCAUUUACCCUCUCUGGAGAAACAGCUGGACUUCAGGACAGUGACAGCUCCUUCCAGGGCCAGGUGGAGGGUUCUGAGAUGCAGCCCGGAAUGGGGUGGCUUGGCAGAUGUGAAGUUGUGAGUGUUAUGGGCUUAACUGUGCUCAACACCCCCAUUCAUAUAUUGAAGUCCUAACCCCUAGUGCCUCAGAAUAUGACUGCAUUGGAGAUAGGGCCUCCUAAAAGGUAACUAGGGGGACCUCCCUGGUGGCCCAGUAGCUGACUCUGUGCUGCCAAUGCAGGUGCGGUUCCAUCCCUGGUCAGGAACCAGAUCCCGCAUGCCAUAACUAAAGAUCCCAAGUGCUACCACUAAGACCCACCACAACCAAAUUAAAAAAUAAGAAAUAUUUUUUCAAAAAAGUAACUAGGCUAAAAUAAGGCCAUGAGGGUGGGCCCUAAUGUGAUGUGACUGGUGUCCUUCUGAGAAGAGAUUCUGUAGGACAGAC
ensembl:lncRNA